AGUGAACGCUGGCGGUAGGCCUAACACAUGCAAGUCGAACGGCAGCACAGUAAGAGCUUGCUCUUACGGGUGGCGAGUGGCGGACGGGUGAGGAAUACAUCGGAAUCUACUUUUUCGUGGGGGAUAACGUAGGGAAACUUACGCUAAUACCGCAUACGACCUACGGGUGAAAGCAGGGGAUCUUCGGACCUUGCGCGAUUGAAUGAGCCGAUGUCGGAUUAGCUAGUUGGCGGGGUAAAGGCCCACCAAGGCGACGAUCCGUAGCUGGUCUGAGAGGAUGAUCAGCCACACUAGAACUGAGACACGGUCCAGACUCCUACGGGAGGCAGCAGUGGGGAAUAUCGGACAAUGGGCGCAAGCCUGAUCCAGCCAUACCGCGUGGGUUAAGAAGGCCUUCGGGUUGUAAAGCCCUUUUGUUGGGAAAGAAAAGCAGCAGGUUAAUACCCCGCUGUUCUGACGGUACCCAAAGAAUAAGCACCGGCUAACUUCGUG
rnacentral:rRNA from 1 species